AUUGAACGCUGGCGGCAGGCCUAACACAUGCAAGUCGAACGGUAGCACAGAGAGCUUGCUCUCGGGUGACGAGUGGCGGACGGGUGAGUAAUGUCUGGGAAACUGCCUGAUGGAGGGGGAUAACUACUGGAAACGGUAGCUAAUACCGCAUAACGUCGCAAGACCAAAGAGGGGGACCUUCGGGCCUCUUGCCAUCAGAUGUGCCCAGAUGGGAUUAGCUAGUAGGUGGGGUAACGGCUCACCUAGGCGACGAUCCCUAGCUGGUCUGAGAGGAUGACCAGCCACACUGGAACUGAGACACGGGCCAGACUCCUACGGGAGGCAGCAGUGGGGAAUAUUGCACAAUGGGCGCAAGCCUGAUGCAGCCAUGCCGCGUGUAUGAAGAAGGCCUUCGGGUUGUAAAGUACUUUCAGCGGGGAGGAAGGGAGUAAGGUUAAUAACCUUGUUCAUUGACGUUACCCGCAGAAGAAGCACCGGCUAACUCCGUGCCAGCAGCCGCCGUAA
rnacentral:rRNA from 1 species